GACGAACGCUGGCGGCGUGCUUAACACAUGCAAGUCGAGCGGUAAGGCCCUUCGGGGUACACGAGCGGCGAACGGGUGAGUAACACGUGAGCAAUCUGCCCUUCACUCUGGGAUAACCCCCGGAAACGGGAGCUAAUACCGGAUACGACCACUUCAGACAUCUGAUGGUGGUGGAAAGUUCUGGCGGUGGAGGAUGAGCUCGCGGCCUAUCAGCUUGUUGGUGGGGUCACGGCCCACCAAGGCUUCGACGGGUAGCCGGCCUGAGAGGGUGACCGGCCACACUGGGACUGAGACACGGCCCAGACUCCUACGGGAGGCAGCAGUGGGGAAUAUUGGACAAUGGGCGAAAGCCUGAUCCAGCAACGCCGCGUGAGGGAUGACGGCCUUCGGGUUGUAAACCUCUUUCAGCGCAGACGAAGCGAAAGUGACGGUAUGCGCAGAAGAAGCACCGGCCAACUACGUGCCAGCAGCCGCAGUAA
rnacentral:rRNA from 1 species